GACGAACGCUGGCGGCGUGCCUAAUACAUGCCAGUCGAGCGAAGUUUUUCUGGUGCUUGCACUAGAAAAACUUAGCGGCGAACGGGUGAGUAACACGUAAAGAACCUGCCUCAUAGACUGGGACAACUAUUGGAAACGAUAGCUAAUACCGGAUAACAGUAUUUCUCGCAUGAGAGAUAUUUAAAAGUUGGUUAUGCUAACACUAUGAGAUGGCUUUGCGGUGCAUUAGCUAGUUGGUGGGGUAAAGGCCCACCAAGGCGACGAUGCAUAGCCGACCUGAGAGGGUGAUCGGCCACACUGGGACUGAGACACGGCCCAGACUCCUACGGGAGGCAGCAGUAGGGAAUCUUCCGCAAUGGGCGAAAGCCUGACGGAGCAACGCCGCGUGAGUGAAGAAGGAUUUCGGUUCGUAAAGCUCUGUUGCUAGGGAAGAAUGGAUAUGUAGUAACUAUACAUGUAAGAGACGGUACCUAACCAGAAAGCCACGGCUAACUACGUG
rnacentral:rRNA from 1 species